rnacentral:lncRNA from 1 species
CCUUGGCCCGUUUUCCCAACCCAAAGUUAAAGCCUCUGAACUGGCUCAAGAAAUAUUUGCAAUCGGGAUGGCUUCUCCUCCCAAAUCUACGGUGUUUGGUGGGUUCGAACAGACCUGGCUUAAGAGCUUUGUGACCUUGAGCAAGAGACUCAAUCUCUCUGAGCUUCGGUCUCAUCUGCAAAGCAGGGUACCCUAAUAAUGGUAACCGGAAACGUCCCCGAAACUACCUUCUCGUACCAGGUUCUUGGUGAAGCACUUGGCACGCAUCGGAGCUCAUUACUCCUCAUCGUGGUCCUGUAAGGUAUCCUGUGAUCCACUUCCUGCACCCCAGAGGGCAGGGGGCACCCCUAGAGGCAAUGCCCACACACCUCUGGCCCAGA